AUUGAACGCUGGCGGCAUGCCUAACACAUGCAAGUCGAACGGAGGUAGGGGCAACUCUACUUCAGUGGCGGACGGGUGAGGAAUGCGUCGGAAUCUACCCUAUGGUGGGGGAUAACACAGGGAAACUUGUGCUAAUACCGCAUGAUGUCGAGAGACCAAAGCAGGGGACCGCAAGGCCUUGCGCGAUAGGAUGAGCCGACGCCCGAUUAGCUUGUUGGUAGGGUAAUGGCCUACCAAGGCGACGAUCGGUAGCUGGUCUGAGAGGAUGAUCAGCCACACUGGGACUGAGACACGGCCCAGACUCCUACGGGAGGCAG
rnacentral:rRNA from 1 species